rnacentral:lncRNA from 1 species
CAUCACGUCUAAGCCUAAUUAGCAAGAGAAUCAAAUUGCUUGCAAGAACAUAAUAGUAAACACACCUCUCCAUUAAUUAAUACAUAAUAUUAUAGAUGAUGGAUACAAGGACCUUAUCGAAUUAUUCAUGAUACAAAGAUCUACGGACUAAUUUUUAACUCACGAAUUCGAGGCUACAAUUACUGUAACACAAUAAUAACUUAGUAGUACACGAGGGUUGGAGGUGCAUAUGUAAACCUUCUUAAUUAAGUAGACAACAAGGCAUGUUCACCGAUCACCGUCAGAGCCUGUAAAUAAGUAAGAUAAGGUCCAGCCAUCAUACUUAAAAGCAUAUUUGGUUUUUUUUUUUAGAAUUUGACGAUAAAUUUCACAUCAAAAUAGAUUUAUAAACUUUAUUUUAUGAUAUUAUGAUAGCAUUUUCGAGUAAAAUCAUGUAUGUGAACUUUCUUGCUUCUAAAUUAAUUAUUUGAAAAUUUAAAAGCUUUACUUGUGCUAAACAUCGAAUAUUUUUACCAGAUGGAUAAGAUUACAGGGCAGAAACAUAAACAUAGCAAAUUAUUACUACCACCAUUUUAAAUAUAUGGCAUAGUUGAUCUUUAAAUAUGGCGUUUGAUUAUUUGUUUUAUUAAAAUAAACUACUACCUCCGUCCCAUAAUAACCUCAUUUUUCGUUUUUCUAUGUCCAACGUUUGAACCAUUCGUCUUAUUUAAAAAAAUUUUACGAUCAAUAUUUUUAUUGUUACUAGAUGAUAAAAUAUAAACAGUACUUUAUACGUGACUAAUUUUUUUAAGUUUUUAUACAAAUUUUUCAAAUAAGACGAAUGGUCAAACGUUGGACACGGAAAAAUAAAAUAUAAGGUAAUUAUGGGAUGGAGGUAGUACGAAAGUGUCAUUUAUUUUGUUGUGCCUCGUUAUAUUAUCAUUAAAUAUACUCUUAGCAUGAGUAAUAUUUUUACAUAUUAGCACUAAAUUAAUUUUUAAAUAAGAUAAAUUUUCAAAAUUAUGUCAAAAAGUCCUGAUUAUCAUAUAUUUAAAAACAAAGUGAGUAGAUUACAAGGCUUUAUUUAUUAUUUCGCUCUGGAUAUGACUUGCACUGUUGCACAGACGUUUUCUUCUUAUUUGCAAGACUAGAAAGUUAACGUUUUCAAGGAAGUUUGUCCUAUCCAUGAUAGGCUCUCAAAGAUAUUUUCAGCAACAUCCAAGUUGUCAUUGGAUGGGGUUGUAUUACAUUUGAAAGUGAACUGAGACACUUUUGGCGACUAUGAUGAUAUUAUUAAUAUCACUAUAUUCGUUCUUUUUAAUUGGCAUUUCUAAAGAUGUGUUUUUCGCAUAAAUUUGUAAAGACACUUUCAUACAAGAAAAACCUUCAACUUAUUUGUGAAUUCCGGAGGACUGAAAGCUUGAUGAUAACUAUAUAUGCAUGAUUAGACGAUCAAAAAAAGUGGAAAAACAAAACUAACUUUCAGAAGAUUGAUCAUAAUUUAGUUCAGGCAGUGUUCAUUCAGUUCAGAGAAGAGAAGAGGUGCAUGCGUAUACCAGUCGAGACAGAGAGAGAGAGCUUCUUGAUCAUGUCAGAAUCUGGCAGCAGCUGCUGCUGCUAGCCUAGCCGAUCUUGGUGAUGGAGUCCAGCGACACCACGAGGACCAGGUCUUGCUGGCCGGAAGCGUCGUAGGCAUGCUUCAUCGCCUUCCUCCGCGGCGGCGCCGCCCUCUUCCCCG